rnacentral:lncRNA from 1 species
AUGCAUGCGCACUGCCCGCGGGGCGGAGCGGGGCCGGGCCGGGGGAGCCGCGGGACCCGCCACCGAGAGGGGCCGGGCCGGGCCGGGCUGGGCCGGGCCGGGGGAGCCGUCACCGAGAGGGGCCGGGCCGGGCCGGGGGAGCCGUCACCGAGAGGGGCCGGGCCGGGCCGGGGGAGCCGUCACCGAGAGGGGCCGGACCGGGCCGAGUGGGGCCGGGGGAGCCACCGCAGCCGCCGCCACCCAGCGGGGCCGUGCCCCCCGGAAUUGCGGUGCGAGGGCACUCCUGGCCUGUACGGGACAGCCCCGGCAAUUCGGCAGCGGAGUCCAUGCUCCCCAGGGAAAUCCAGCAGCUUGAACACCACGGUGAGGGGCUCAGAAACACAGCAUCUGAAUUUCUGUAUGGAAAACACAGCAAGACUUGCUAAUGGACAGUGAAUUUGGGUAUGGAAAACACAGCAAUCCUUGCUGAUGGGCAGUGAAUUUGUGCGUGGAGAAACAGAGCAAGGCUUGCUGAUGGACAGUGAAUUUGGGUAUGGAGAAGCACAGCAAGGUUUGCUGAUGGACAUGUGAAUUUGUGUAUGGAAAACAGAGCAAGACUUGCUGAUGGGCAGUGAAUUUGUGGAUGGAGAGAAACAGCAAAGCUUGCUGAUGGGCAGUGAAUUUGGGUAUGGAGAAGCACAGCAAUCCUUGCUGAUGGGCAGUGAAUUUGUGCAUGGAGAAGCACAGCAAGGCUUGCUGAUGGACAUGUUAAUUUGUGAAUAGAGAAGCACAGCAAGGCUUGCUGAUGGACAUCUGAAUUUGUGUAUGGAGAAGCACAGCAAGGCUUGCUGAUGGGCAGUGAAUUUGUGAAUAGAGAAACACAGCAAGGCUUGCUGAUGAGCAGGCUGAUUCGUGUAUCGAGAGACAGCCAAUUCUUUCUGCCUGCUACUGCACCGCCCUAAAUCCAUCAGGAAACGGAAAGGGAGUGUCACAAAGAGCUGUGGUGAGACGCGGCAGAGUGCCAGCGCUGCUCAAGGGAAGUAAAAACUUCACUAAGUAUGCAGAAAGUUCAGCAUUAGUCACCGCAUUUUUUCCCUACGUCACCCCUUUUCAGUCAGCCGAAAUCGCAGAGCGCAGCCUGCCAUAAACACCUUCACUGUCUAAACAAGCAGAUGCCUUUACAGAAGCUGUUUUCCUUGGCCGGGGUUACACACCCGGACAAUGGCAGAAGUGAAACCCAGGGCCGGUUUGCGGUGUCCCCGGGGGAAGGAAAGCCCGGGCGUGGCUCCGGGGCAGCGCUCGCUCCGUGCCCGGGGGGAUCGGCAGAGCUAAGCCCAGCCGGGACCCCCCCCUUGGGAACGGACAGACGGCCUGGUUCUGGAAUCCCGCAGUCACACUGCUGUGAUAAACGCCAACCGCUUGUUUUUAAUUUUUUUAAAAGUUUUAAUGGUAAUAAAAUGGUUAAAAAGAAUAGUAACA